rnacentral:rRNA from 1 species
CAUAGGUUAAUGAGGCGAACCGGGGGAACUGAAACAUCUAAGUACCCCGAGGAAAAGAAAUCAACCGAGAUUCCCCCAGUAGCGGCGAGCGAACGGGGAGCAGCCCAGAGCCUGAAUCAGUGUGUGUGUUAGUGGAAGCGUCUGGAAAGGCGCGCGAUACAGGGUGACAGCCCCGUACACAAAAAUGCACAUACUGUGAGCUCGAUGAGUAGGGCGGGACACGUGGUAUCCUGUCUGAAUAUGGGGGGACCAUCCUCCAAGGCUAAAUACUCCUGACUGACCGAUAGUGAACCAGUACCGUGAGGGAAAGGCGAAAAGAACCCCGGCGAGGGGAGUGAAAAAGAACCUGAAACCGUGUACGUACAAGCAGUGGGAGCACGCUUAGGCGUGUGACUGCGUACCUUUUGUAUAAUGGGUCAGCGACUUAUAUUCUGUAGCAAGGUUAACCGAAUAGGGGAGCCGAAGGGAAACCGAGUCUUAACUGGGCGUUAAGUUGCAGGGUAUAGACCCGAAACCCGGUGAUCUAGCCAUGGGCAGGUUGAAGGUUGGGUAACACUAACUGGAGGACCGAACCGACUAAUGUUGAAAAAUUAGCGGAUGACUUGUGGCUGGGGGUGAAAGGCCAAUCAAACCGGGAGAUAGCUGGUUCUCCCCGAAAGCUAUUUAGGUAGCGCCUCGUGAAUUCAUCUCCGGGGGUAGAGCACUGUUUCGGCAAGGGGGUCAUCCCGACUUACCAACCCGAUGCAAACUGCGAAUACCGGAGAAUGUUAUCACGGGAGACACACGGCGGGUGCUAACGUCCGUCGUGAAGAGGGAAACAACCCAGACCGCCAGCUAAGGUCCCAAAGUCAUGGUUAAGUGGGAAACGAUGUGGGAAGGCCCAGACAGCCAGGAUGUUGGCUUAGAAGCAGCCAUCAUUUAAAGAAAGCGUAAUAGCUCACUGGUCGAGUCGGCCUGCGCGGAAGAUGUAACGGGGCUAAACCAUGCACCGAAGCUGCGGCAGCGACGCUGAUGCGUUGUUGGGUAGGGGAGCGUUCUGUAAGCCUGUGAAGGUGUGCUGUGAGGCAUGCUGGAGGUAUCAGAAGUGCGAAUGCUGACAUAAGUAACGAUAAAGCGGGUGAA